rnacentral:rRNA from 1 species
UGAGUAACGCGUAUGCAACCUACCGUAUCGAGAGGGGAAUAACCCGGCGAAAGUCGGACUAAUACCGCAGUAAAACAGGGGCACCGCAUGGUGAUAUUUGUUAAAGAAAUUCGCUGAUAGAUGGGCAUGCGUUCCAUUAGGUAGUGGUGAGGUAACGGCUCACCAAGCCGACGAUGGAUAGGGGAACUGAGAGGUUGGUCCCCCACACUGGUACUGAGACACGGACCAGACUCCUACGGGAGGCAGCAGUGAGGAAUAUUGGUCAAUGGGCGAGAGCCUGAACCAGCCAAGUCGCGUGGAAGGAAGAAGGAUCUAUGGUUCGUAAACUUCUUUUGCAGGGGAAUAAAGUGCAGGACGUGUCCUGUUUUGUAUGUACCCUGAGAAUAAGGAUCGGCUAACUCCGUGCCAGCCGCCGC